rnacentral:rRNA from 1 species
GGCGUGCCUAUACAUGCAAGUCGAGCGAAUCGACGGGAGCUUGCUCCCUUAGAUUAGCGGCGGACGGGUGAGUAACACGUGGGUAACCUGCCUAUAAGACUGGGAUAACUUCGGGAAACCGGAGCUAAUACCGGAUAAUUUCUUCCCUCGCAUGAGGGAAGAUGGAAAGACGGUUCUGCUGUCACUUAUAGAUGGACCCGCGGCGCAUUAGCUAGUUGGUGAGGUAAUGGCUCACCAAGGCGACGAUGCGUAGCCGACCUGAGAGGGUGAUCGGCCACACUGGGACUGAGACACGGCCCAGACUCCUACGGGAGGCAGCAGUAGGGAAUCUUCCGCAAUGGACGAAAGUCUGACGGAGCAACGCCGCGUGAACGAAGAAGGCCUUCGGGUCGUAAAGUUCUGUUGUUAGGGAAGAACAAGUACCAGAGUAACUGCUGGUACCUUGACGGUACCUAACCAGAAAGCCACGGCUAACUACGUGCCAGCAGCCGCGGUAAUACGUAGGUGGCAAGCGUUGUCCGGAAUUAUUGGGCGUAAAGCGCGCGCAGGUGGUUCUUUAAGUCUGAUGUGAAAGCCCACGGCUCAACCGUGGAGGGUCAUUGGAAACUGGGGAACUUGAGUGCAGAAGAGGAAAGU